GAUGAACGCUGGCGGCGUGCCUAAUACAUGCAAGUCGAGCGAACAGACGAGGAGCUUGCUCCUCUGACGUUAGCGGCGGACGGGUGAGUAACACGUGGAUAACCUACCUAUAAGACUGGGAUAACUUCGGGGAACCGGAGCUAAUACCGGAUAAUAUAUUGAACCGCAUGGUUCAAUAGUGAAAGACGGUUUUGCUGUCACUUAUAGAUGGAUCCGCGCCGCAUUAGCUAGUUGGUAAGGUAACGGCUUACCAAGGCAACGAUGCGUAGCCGACCUGAGAGGGGGAUCGGCCACACUGGAACUGAGACACGGUCCAGACUCCUACGGGAGGCAGCAGUAGGGCAUCUUCCGCAAUGGGCGAAAGCCUGACGGAGCAACGCCGCGUGAGUGAUGAAGGUCUUCGGAUCGUAAAACUCUGUUAUUAGGGAAGAACAAAUGUGUAAGUAACUAUGCACGUCUUGACGGUACCUAAUCAGAAAGCCACGGCUAACUACGUGCCAGCCGCCGCAGUAA
rnacentral:rRNA from 1 species